rnacentral:rRNA from 1 species
GAUGAACGCUGGCGGCGUGCUUAACACAUGCAAGUCGAACGAUGAAGCCCAGCUUGCUGGGUGGAUUAGUGGCGAACGGGUGAGUAACACGUGAGUAACCUGCCCUUAACUCUGGGAUAAGCCUGGGAAACUGGGUCUAAUACCGGAUAGGAGCGUCCACCGCAUGGUGGGUGUUGGAAAGAUUUAUCGGUUUUGGAUGGACUCGCGGCCUAUCAGCUUGUUGGUGAGGUAAUGGCUCACCAAGGCGACGACGGGUAGCCGGCCUGAGAGGGUGACCGGCCACACUGGGACUGUGACACGGCCCAGACUCCUACGGGAGGCAGCAGUGGGGAAGAUUGCACAAUGGGCGAAAGCCUGAUGCAGCGACGCCGCGUGAGGGAGGACGGCCUUCGGGUUGUAAACCUCUUUCAGUAGGGAAGAAGCGAAAGUGACGGUACCUGCAGAAGAAGCACCGGCUAACUACGU